rnacentral:rRNA from 1 species
GACAGAGGCCCCAAGCGUUUAGGCGGAAUCACUGGGCUUAAAGCGUGUGUAGGCGGACGCCUAAGUGUCUUGUGAAAUCCCACGGCUCACCCGUGGAACUGCUGGGCAUACUGGGCGUCUUGGGCCAACUAGGGGCAGCCGGAACAAGCGGUGGAGCGGUGAAAUGCGUAGAUAUCGCUUGGAACGCCGGAAGGUGAAAACAGGCUGCUGGGGUUGCGCCGACGCGUGAGACACGGAAAGCCAGGGGAGCAAACGGG